CAACAUACAUCAUAUACGAGACCAGAUAUGAUAUACUCACUAGGGGUAAUGAAUGGAUACCUGCAAGAUCUGGAUGAGAAUCACUGAUAGGUCGUCCUUAAGUAUUUGAAAAAUACUAAGGAUUGGUGAUUCGAUUAUGGAGAAUCUGAUUUAAAACUUAUGAAAUUUGACUCCAGUUUUUAGUUUGACAUAAUAAUAGCAAGAACAUGUCGGAAUAUAUUUUUACCCUAAAUAAUAGAGCAAUCUACUGAAAAAGUUUCAAG
rnacentral:lncRNA from 1 species